GACGAACGCUGGCGGCGUGCCUAAUACAUGCAAGUCGAGCGGACAGAUGGGAGCUUGCUCCCUGAUGUUAGCGGCGGACGGGUGAGUAACACGUGGGUAACCUGCCUGUAAGACUGGGAUAACUCCGGGAAACCGGGGCUAAUACCGGAUGGUUGUUUGAACCGCAUGGUUCAAACAUAAAAGGUGGCUUCGGCUACCACUUACAGAUGGACCCGCGGCGCAUUAGCUAGUUGGUGAGGUAAUGGCUCACCAAGGCAACGAUGCGUAGCCGACCUGAGAGGGUGAUCGGCCACACUGGGACUGAGACACGGCCCAGACUCCUACGGGAGGCAGCAGUAGGGAAUCUUCCGCAAUGGACGAAAGUCUGACGGAGCAACGCCGCGUGAGUGAUGAAGGUUUUCGGAUCGUAAAGCUCUGUUGUUAGGGAAGAACAAGUACCGUUCGAAUAGGGCGGUACCUUGACGGUACCUAACCAGAAAGCCACGGCUAACUACGUGCCAGCCGCCGCCGUAA
rnacentral:rRNA from 1 species